rnacentral:rRNA from 1 species
CUGUACAGUUCAGAGUUUGAUCCUGGCUCAGGACGAACGCUGGCGGCGUGCCUAACACAUGCAAGUCGAACGGGGUUAAAUGAAGGUUUACUGGAUUUUAACUUAGUGGCGAACGGGUGAGUAACGCGUGAGAAACCUGCCUCUCAUGGGGGACAACAGUUGGAAACGACUGCUAAUACCGCAUAACACUUUAGUACCGCAUGGUACAGAAGUCAAAGCUUUAUGUGCUGAGAGAUGGUCUCGCGUCUGAUUAGCUAGAUGGCGGGGUAACGGCCCACCAUGGCGACGAUCAGUAGCCGGUCUGAGAGGAUGAACGGCCACAUUGGGACUGAGAUACGGCCCAG